CACGUAGGGGGCGAGCGUUGUCCGGAUUUAUUGGGCGUAAAGAGCUCGUAGGCGGCUCAGUAAGUCGGGUGUGAAACCUCCAGGCUCAACCUGGAGACGCCACCUGAUACUGCUGUGGCUGGAGUCCGGUAGGGGAGCGUAGAAUUCCUGGUGUAGCGGUGAAAUGCGCAGAUAUCGGGAAGAACACCCGUGGCGAAGGCGGUUCUCUGGGACGGUACUGACGCUGAGACGCGAAAGCGUGGGGAGCGAACAGG
rnacentral:rRNA from 1 species